rnacentral:rRNA from 1 species
UACGAAGGGUGCAAGCGUUAAUCGGAAUUACUGGGCGUAAAGGGUGCGUAGGCGGUUCGUUAAGUCUGUCGUGAAAUCCCCGGGCUCAACCUGGGAAUGGCGAUGGAUACUGGCGAGCUAGAGUGUGUCAGAGGAUGGUGGAAUUCCCGGUGUAGCGGUGAAAUGCGUAGAGAUCGGGAGGAACAUCAGUUGCGAAGGCGGCUCUCUGGACCAGCACUGACACUGAGGCACGAAAGCGUGGGGAGCAAACAGG